rfam:Rhizobium lusitanum strain P1-7 genome assembly, contig: Ga0061101_102
GAUGCUCUAACGGGGUGCCUUAUGUCCUUUGGGAUAUUUGGCUGAGAGGCUUUGACAGGCCAACCCGCGGAACCUGAUCCGGCUAACACCGGCGGAGGGAUUAGACGCGUGACCAAA